rnacentral:rRNA from 1 species
GGAGGGGGGCUAGCGUUGCUCGGAAUUACUGGGCGUAAAGGGCGUGUAGGCGGGACAUCAAGUUAGGCGUGAAAGCCCCCGGGGCUCAACCCCGGGAAAUGCGCUUGAUACUGAUGACCUAGAGUCCCGGGAGAGGGUGGUGGAAUUCCCAGUGUAGAGGUGAAAUUCGUAGAUAUUGGGAAGAACACCAGUGGCGAAGUCGGCCACCUGGACCGGUACUGACGCUGAGGCGCGAAAGCGUGGGGAGCAAACAGGAUUAGAUACCCUGGUAGUCCACGCCGUAAACGAUGUGUGCUAGACGUCGGGCAGCUUGCUGUUCGGUGUCGCAGCUAACGCACUAAGCACACCGCCUGGGGAGUACGGCCGCAAAGGCUA